rnacentral:rRNA from 1 species
GAUGAACGCUGGCGGCGUGCCUAAUACAUGCAAGUCGAGCGAACAGACGAGGAGCUUGCUCCUCUGACGUUAGCGGCGGACGGGUGAGUAACACGUGGAUAACCUACCUAUAAGACUGGGAUAACUUCGGGAGACCGGAGCUAAUACCGGAUAAUAUAUUGAACCGCAUGGUUCAAUAGUGAAAGACGGUUUUGCUGUCACUUAUAGAUGGAUCCGCGCCGCAUUAGCUAGUUGGUAAGGUAACGGCUUACCAAGGCAACGACGCGUAGCCGACCUGAGAGGGUGAUCGGCCACACUGGAACUGAGACACGGUCCAGACUCCUACGGGAGGCAGCAGUAGGGAAUCUUCCGCAAUGGGCGAAAGCUUGACGGGGCAACGCCGCGUGAGUGAUGAAGGUCUUCGGAUCGUAAAACUCUGUUAUUAGGGAAGAACAAAUGUGUAAGUAACUAUGCACGUCUUGACGGUACCUAAUCAGAAAGCCACGGCUAACUACGUG